rnacentral:rRNA from 1 species
UACGUAGGAGGCAAGCGUUGUCCGGAAUUACUGGGUGUAAAGCGCGUGUAGGUGGUGGGCCAAGUCUGUGGUGAAAUCGCCCGGCUCAACUGGGCGGGGUCCGUGGAAACUGGUCGACUGGAGGACGGUAGAGGCGAGUGGAAUUCCCGGUGUAGUGGUGAAAUGCGUAGAGAUCGGGAGGAACACCAGUGGCGAAGGCGGCUCGCUGGGCCGUAACUGACGCUGAGACACGAAAGCGUGGGUAGCAAACAGG